rnacentral:rRNA from 1 species
UACAGAGGUCUCAAGCGUUGUUCGGAUUCAUUGGGCGUAAAGGGCGCGUAGGCGGCGAGGUAAGUCGGGUGUGAAAUCCUGGGGCUCAACCUCAGAAUUGCCUCCGAUACUGGCAGUCUCGAGUGCGGGAGAGGUGAGUGGAAUUCCCAGUGUAGAGGUGAAAUUCGUAGAUAUUGGGAAGAACACCAGUGGCGAAGGCGGCUCACUGGCCCGUAAUUGACGCUGAGGUGCGAAAGCGUGGGGAGCGAACAGG